rnacentral:rRNA from 1 species
UGGGGAAUAUUGGACAAUGGGCGAAAGCCUGAUCCAGCCAUGCCGCGUGUGUGAAGAAGGUCUUCGGAUUGUAAAGCACUUUAAGUUGGGAGGAAGGGCAGUAAGCGAAUACCUUGCUGUUUUGACGUUACCGACAGAAUAAGCACCGGCUAACUCUGUGCCAGCAGCCGCGGUAAUACAGAGGGUGCAAGCGUUAAUCGGAUUUACUGGGCGUAAAGCGUGCGUAGGCGGCUAAUUGAGUCGGAUGUGAAAUCCCCGAGCUUAACUUGGGAAUUGCAUUCGAUACUGGUUAGCUAGAGUGUGGGAGAGGAUGGUAGAAUUCCAGGUGUAGCGGAGAAAUGCGUAGAGAUCUGGAGGAAUACCGAUGGCGAAGGCAGCCAUCUGGCCUAACACUGACGCUGAGGUACGAAAGCAUGGGGAGCAAACAGG